rnacentral:lncRNA from 1 species
UAAGUUCGAUGAAUGAAGAUCUGAGUCUUGGGACACUUACACAUAGAUAAGUUGCAUCAAAUUGCUCCAUUCCCUCCUCCCAUAGGUGCCUGUUUUACUGUUAUGGAUAACUAGGGGUGACUUUGAUCAAUUUCUCAUUGCUUGUUCUAAAACUCAGCGGUAGCACAAACAUUAAACUCCAUAACACGCAUACAUAAGUAAACAUAAAAGUCUAGAUCUGAACCCUUGGAAACAUACAGACAGAAGUUUCGCAUCUAUUUAUUCAUCCAUUCCCUCCCCCCACAGGUGACUGUUUUACUGUUACGGAUAACUAGGGUGGCUUAAGAUCAAUUUCUCAUUGUUUGUUCUAAAACUCAGUUGUAGCACAAACAUUAAACUCCAUAACACGACAAACAUAAGUAAAAAUAAAAGUCUAGAGAUA